rnacentral:rRNA from 1 species
UACGUAGGCAGCGAGCGUUGUUCGGAUUCAUUGGGCGUAAAGGGUGCGUAGGCGGCGCGGUAAGUCGGGUGUGAAAUCUCGGAGCUUAACUCCGAAACUGCAUUCGAUACUGCCGUGCUUGAGGACUGGAGAGGAGACUGGAAUUUACGGUGUAGCGGUGAAAUGCGUAGAUAUCGUAAGGAAGACCAGUGGCGAAGGCGGGUCUCUGGACAGUUCCUGACGCUGAGGCACGAAGGUCAGGGGAGCAAACGGG